AUAAUACUCCCUCCGUCCGGAAUUACUUGUCAUCAAAAUGGAUGUGUCUAGAACUAAAAUGCAUCUAGAUACAUCCAUUUCAAUGACAAGUAUUUUCGGAUGGAGGGAGUAGUAG
rnacentral:pre_miRNA from 1 species